rnacentral:rRNA from 1 species
GUAGGGGGCAAGCGUUGUCCGGAUUCAUUGGGGCGUAAAGCGCGUGUAGGCGGUUCAAUAGGUCCGAUGUGAAAACUCGAGGCUCAACUUCGAGAGGGCCAUCGGAAACCAUUGGACUAGAGUCCGGAAGAGGAGAGUGGAAUUCCUGGUGUAGCGGUGAAAUGCGCAGAUAUCAGGAGGAACACCGAUGGCGAAGGCAGCUCUCUGGGACGGUACUGACGCUGAGACGCGAAAGCGUGGGGAGCGAACAGGAUUAGAUACCCUGGUAGUCCACGCCGUAAACGAUGGGCACUAGGUGUGGGUGGUGUCGACUCCAUCCGUGCCGCAGCUAACGCAUUAAGUGCCCCGCCUGGGGAGUACGGCCGCAAAGGCUAA